AACGAACGCUGGCGGCAGGCUUAACACAUGCAAGUCGAACGGACGUAGCAAUACGUUAGUGGCGCACGGGAGAGUAACACGUGGGAACCUACCUUUUAGUUCGGGAUAACGUCGGGAAACUGACGCUAAUACCGGAUACGCCCCAAGGGGGAAAGAUUUAUCGCUAAAAGAUGGGCCCGCGCUAGAUUAGCUUGUUGGUGAGGUAAUGGCUCACCAAGGCUACGAUCUAUAGCUGGUCUGAGAGGAUGACCAGCCUCACUGGGACUGAGACACGGCCCAGACUCCUACGGGAGGCAGCAGUGGGGAAUAUUGGACAAUGGGGGAAACCCUGAUCCAGCCAUGCCGCGUGAAUGAUGAAGGCCUUCGGGUUGUGAAGUUCUUUUGGAGGGGACGAUGAUGACGGUACCCUCAGAAUAAGCUCCGGCUAACUUCGUGCCAGCCGCCGCCGUAA
rnacentral:rRNA from 1 species